rnacentral:lncRNA from 1 species
AAUCCUAUUGCAAUUGAUAAGCAAUUUUCACCUUGGUGCCUAAAGUGCCUUCGCCAAGAAUUCUUUGCAACUAAGCGAUUGCUUGGGGGCUUAAUACUACUAUUAUCACCUUGGUGCCUAAAGUGCCUUUGCCAAGCUCUAUGGGUGAUUACCGGCCAAUCUCUUGCUGCAACACCAUUUAUAAAAUAAUUUCUAAGUUACUGGCAAGCCGUGUAAAAUCGGUUCUCCCUGCCAUUAUUUAUUGACUGAGCUGCUGGGAUUUGGAGGCUGGUUCUUCGUCACAGUGUAUAGUAUAUGGAUAGAGCAUAAUAACAGGAUUUUCAAGGAUAC